UACGAAGGGGGGCUAGCGUUGUUCGGAUUUACUGGGCGUAAAGCGCACGUAGGCGGAUUGUUAAGUCGGGGGUGAAAUCCUGGAGCUCAACUCCAGAACUGCCUUCGAUACUGGCAAUCUCGAGUCCGGAAGAGGUAAGUGGAACUCCUAGUGUAGAGGUGGAAUUCGUAGAUAUUAGGAAGAACACCAGUGGCGAAGGCGGCUUACUGGUCCGGUACUGACGCUGAGGUGCGAAAGCGUGGGGAGCAACAGG
rnacentral:rRNA from 1 species